AUUUGCUCUUUCCCAUCUCCGAUUCAAAACAUUCACUUUCACAUUAUUUGCUUAAAUUUCUUUUGUUGGUAGGAAAUGAAGAGAGGUAGAGAAGAAGCUGCAGGAUUUGAGUCAGCCAGGGACAUGGUGAAUUGCUUGAUGCUUCUUUCUAAAGUUGGCCAAACUGAAGCACCCGAUGGUCGUUUCUUUACAUGCAAGACGUGUAAUAGGAAAUUCGCAUCAUUUCAAGCCUUGGGUGGUCACCGUGCAAGUCACAAGAAACCAAAACUCGUUGGAGAUGACUUUCUAAAACUACCCAGUUCGCCUCCAAAGCCAAAAACCCAUGAGUGCCCCAUAUGUGGCCUUGAGUUUCCCAUCGGACAAGCUCUAGGGGGUCAUAUGAGGAGGCACAGAGGAGGAAAUAACAAUAUGGGUGAUGGAUUAGUGACUCGGCCUCUGUUACCGCUGCCAGUUAUGAAGAAAUCCACAAGUAAGAGAGUUUUAUCUUUGGAUUUGAACCUGACGCCAAUGGAGAAUGACUUGACACUGCAAUUGGGCAAGAUAGUGAAGACUCCCGCUUUGAAUUGUUAUAUUUAACUAAUUAUUAGGAUUUUGGACAUAGAAUUUUGUAUUUAUUAAAGAUUUUUUGCAUCCCGAUUUGUUCAUUCAUUUCUAUACACAAAUUAGAGUCUUUUGCAGGUUUUUCUUAUUUUUAAUCUACGUUAGUUUAUAGCUUUUGUUUCUUCUUCUUGUUUGAUCUCAUAGUUUUGUAUUAUUUUG
rnacentral:misc_RNA from 1 species